UCAGGACGAAGAGUCUGAACCAGCCAAGCUAGCGUUGAAGGAUGACUGCCCUAUNGGGAUNGUAAACUUCNNNACNAUACGGGNAAUAAAGUCGAGAGCACGUCGUNGCCNUUUUCGUAUCGUACCGUAUGAAUAAGAGAUCGGCUAACUCCGUGCCAGCAGCCGCGGUAAUACGGAGGAUCCGAGCGUUAUCCGGAUUUAUUGGGUUUAAAGGGAGCGUAGGUGGAUUGUUAAGUCAGUUGUGAAAGUUUGCGGCUCAACCGUAAAAUUGCAGUUGAUACUGGGUGUCUUGAGUACAGUAGAGGCAGGCGGAAUUCGUGGUGUAGCGGUGAAAUGCUUAGAUAUCACGAAGAACUCCGAUUGCGAAGGCAGCCUGCUGGACUGUAACUGACGCUGAUGCUCGAAAGUGUGGGUAUCAAACAGGAUUAGAUACCCUGGUAGUCCAAGGGCGAAUUC
rnacentral:rRNA from 1 species